rnacentral:snRNA from 1 species
UUCUGCCCAGUGCUCUGAAUGU